rfam:Camelus ferus unplaced genomic scaffold scaffold569, whole genome shotgun sequence.
AGGGGUGUAGCUCAAAAUGGUAGAGUGCGUGCUUAGCAUGCACGAGGUCCUGGGUUCAAUCCCUAGUACCUCCA